UGUCGGGUCGAGAAGGAGGAAAGAAAAAACCUCUUAAACAGCCCAAGAAAGAGAAGAAGGAAAUGGAUGAGGAUGAGGUGGCACAUCAACAGAAGAUGAAGGCUGACAAAAAGGCGCUUGAACAAGCUAAGGCAAAAGCAGCUCAGAAAGGACCAAUGGGUGGAAGUGGCAUAAAGAAGUCUGGAAAGAAAUGACACUGGAUUAUUCAUC